rnacentral:tRNA from 2 species
GCACCCGUAAUUCAGUGGUAGAAUGCCAGCUUCCCAAGCUGGAUAUGUGGGUUCAAUUCCCAUCGGGUGCU